ACUCCCAUUUAAGUCCUUUUAUUUUUUACACUUUUAAAUAUAAUUGCUUUGAAUAUCAAGUGCUGUUAUAAUUUUUGUUUCAAGUAUCAAGUAUGACAUAUAAAACUCAAAUGGGGAUUGUCUAUUAAAAACUUCCUUUAGCAAGUCUUUAUAACUAUGUCUACUAGUGACACAUUCCUCAAGAGUGGUAUCCCUAACUGCCAUUAGGGGGUGUUAAACGACGACUCUUUCUGGCUACUUCCCGCUGAAAAGAAGUGUUGUGCUGGGAACAGCACUUAGGGCUCCUCCUGGGGUCGAUCUAUGGGUCCUCAGAAGAAAGGUGUGUCCGUAGGUGGUUCUGUCUGCAGCACCAUUUGGAGUUUGCUUCUAGAUGAAAAGAGAUAAAUUUUACAAGAAAGUUUAGAAUAUAGGGUUUGAAUAUAAGUAUUAAGAUUACCAUUAUUAGUGGGGGUACUAUAGGCCAUAACCAUAACAGUAGAGUUUGAUACCUGUUAGCUAUUCUAAUGGAUUGUAAUACUUGUUUGCCUCCACCAAAUGUUGCUGUACUUUACCAGAAACGUUAAGAUAAAAAUAACAUUCUUUAGCCAGACACAGUGGCUCAUGCCUGUAAUCCCAGCAUUUUGGGAGGCCAAGGCAGGCAGACCACCUGAGGUCAGGAGUUCAAGACCAGCCUGGCCAACAUGGUGAAACCCCGUUUCUACAAAAAUACAAAAAUCAGCCAAGCAUGAUGGUGGGUGCCUGUAAUCCCAGCUACUCAGGAGGCUGAGGCAGGAGAAUUGCUUGAAUCGGGGAGUGAGCCAAGAUUGAGCCAUUGCACUCCAGCCUGAGCAACAGAGUGAGACUCCAUCUCAAAAAAAAAAAAAAAAAAAACAUUCUUUUUAGGAUAAAUGGCAUUAAAUUUGGGUGGCUAAAGUAACUUUAGUGUUAACCUUGGCUAAAUUUUUCCAGCAAUUAUCAAUCCUUUCACAAUUUCCACAGACCAUUUAUGACAUGCUUAAACUUUCUUAGUAGUCCUAAACACCCCUUUUUUAAACAACCAGUUAUUUCCUUUUAGGACAAGAAUUUACCAUCCAAGAUCCUUUCUUAUAUAAAAUCUUUUUUUUUUUUUUUUUGAGAUGGAGUCUCGCUCUGUCACCCAGGCUGGGGUGCAGUGGCACAAUCUCGGGUAACUGCAAACUCAGUCUCCCAGGUUCAAGCAAUUCUCUGCCUCAGCCUCUCAAGCAGCUGGGAUUACAGGUGCCCACCACCACACCCAGAAAUUUAUGAAAAAAAUUUGUAUUUUUCAUAAAGAGAUGGGGUUUCACUAUCUUGCCCAGCACUUUGGAAGGCCAAGGUGGAUAGAUCACCUGAGGUCAGGAGUUCAAGGCCAGUUUGACCAACAUGGAGAAACCACAUCUCUACUAAAAAUACAAAAUUAGCUGGGCAUGGUGGCAUAUGCCUGUAAUCCCAGCUACUCGGGACCAUCUUGGUCAGGCUGGUCUUGAACUCCUGACCUUGUGAUCCAGCCACCUUGGCCUCCCAAAGUGCUGAAAUUACAGGCGUGAGCCACUGCACCCAGCCAAAAUAUCCUUCCUUUAUGACCUUAAUUGAAUAGCUAGGGUGUGACAUAUUACCAAACCCAAUAAGAAGUCCUAGCUAACUUAGUGAUAGUAAAAUUUUCAUGUUUACUUCCUGUCAGUAACUAUUAUCCCUGCUAUAAGGAUAAUAAUUCCACAAAAUAUUACAGUAGUUGAGGCUCUUUAUCCAAUAUUCCACUCUGGGGUUGCUACAAUAUAUAAUCCUUCUGUAAAUAGUAGAGUGAGUAUAUAAUUCUGCAAGGGUGGUGUAGUAGAUAAUUUCCAUCAAAAAGUUUUACUUGCCAAGACAUAGAAUUUCUCUUUGGGGGUCUAUGAAGUUAUAAAUGUAAUCCCAAGGAUAACUAAAAUCUUUCUGCAAAAAUGCAUUAAAAAGAAGUUCUAAUAUCUGGUGGCAAAUCUAAAGAGAAACAUAAAAAUGACAAAGUAUUUGCUGAGGUAAAGGUGGGACUGAGUAAGAUGAGUAGCUCUCACUUAUCUUUUAUGAUUUGUAGCUUCAGAUAUCUUAUUUCUUCACAUUGAUAUUCAGGAUGUUCCUCUGGGCUGUCAGGGGUUGCUCCCACAGCUUUCCAGGCUUUGACUCCAGUGUGAUAAAUCCAGUAGUUGACACCUGUAACUUUUACCACUGAGGGGGCUGAAAGAAAAACAGUGUGGGGCCCUUCCCAGCUUGGGCUCAGGACAAAGAGAGAGAAGGGAGAGCCUUCACCAAUUCCAAAUCUCCAGAGUUUGGAGCUGGGAGUUAAAGGCCAGCUUGACCAACAUGGAGAAACCCCAUCUCUACUAAAAAUACAAAAUUAGCUGGGCAUGGUGGCACAUGCCUGUAAUCCCAGCUACUCGGGGGGCUGAAGAAGAAUCGCUUGAACCUGGGAGGCAGAAGUUGCGGUGAGCCGAGAUCGCACCAUUGCACUCCAGCCUGGGCAACAAGAGUGAAACUACGUCUUAAAAAAAACAAAAACAAAACAGAAAAACAGCUUUAUUACCUCGGAGGCCUUUUCUGUAUGGGGUGGAAAGGUUUCUAUGCAGUUAGUGAAAGUAUCUAUCCAUGCCAGGUGGUGUUGAAUGCCCUUCACCUUUGGCAUGUGGGUGAAGUCUAUCUGCCAGACCUCCCCUGGAAAGCUUCCCAUCCUUUGGGUUUGAGGAGAAAGCUGCUGCCUUCACAAGCAUUAACAACCUGUUUGACUGUUCUUAAUAAAUUCUUUCUUGAAAAUUUUUGGGCACACUGGUAAGUUUUACUCUUUCCUAAAUCAAAUGCCUGGUGGAUUUAAAAACUUUCCAUUGGCUGGAGGCUGGCAAGUGGAGUUUGCCAUCUUCUGACUGUAGCUGUUCUGAGGGCUGGAAAGUAUAUCCUCAAGAAGUGAUGCAUCCUAUUUCUGCAGGGGAGUACUGAGGUUUAAUUUCUCUUAUGGAGCCUUUCCAAAUUAGGGGGGCUUGAAGUAUGUUGAUGCGCUGAGGCUCCCCGCUAGAAGACAGUAAUCCUGCCACAUCAUAUGGGGUGUAAACAGUUAAGUCAUUUCCCAGGUUAAUUUGGUGGCUUUUAGGACCAGUAGGACCACCGUGGCAAUGGCUUGGAGGCAUUUGCAAAUAAUAGGUCCCCCCAAGUGCAACUAAGGGGUUGAGAAAAAUAUUAGAGUUUUUCCUGAGAUGUCCCACAUGGUGGUGCCACAAGAAGAGGGGAGGCCUGGAUUAGAGAGAGGAGAGAGAGGCUGACUCCAUUGUUUAGAAGGAGGUCUACCUGGCUGGAUGCAGCAGCUCACGCCUGUAAUCCUAGUACUUUGGGUGGCCAAGGUUGGCGGAUCACAAGGUCAGGAGAUUGAGACCAUCCUGGCUAACACAGUGAAACCCUGUCUCUACUAAAAAUACAAAAAAAAUUAGCUAGACGUGGUGGUGGGCACCUGUAGUCCCACCUACUCUGGCGGCUGAAGGGGGGAGAAUGGU
rnacentral:lncRNA from 1 species